UACGUAGGGUGGCAAGCGUUGUCCGGAAUUAUUGGGCGUAAAGCGCGCGCAGGUGGUUUCUUAAGUCUGAUGUGAAAGCCCACGGCUUAACCGUGGAGGGUCAUUGGAAACUGGUCGACUUGAGUGCAGAAGAGGGAAGUGGAAUUCCAUGUGUAGCGGUGAAAUGCGUAGAGAUAUGGAGGAACACCAGUGGCGAAGGCGGCUUCCUGGUCUGUAACUGACACUGAGGCGCGAAAGCGUGGGGAGCAAACAGG
rnacentral:rRNA from 1 species